UACGGGGGAUACAAGCGUUGUCCGGAAUGAUUGGGCGUAAAGCGUCUGUAGGUGGCUUAUGAAGUCUGCUGUUAAAUACCAGGGCUUGAACCUUGGGAAAGCGGUGGAAACUCUUGAGCUGGAGUUCGGUAGGGGCAGAGGGAAUUCCUAGUGUAGCGGUGAAAUGCGUAGAUAUUAGGAAGAACACCGAUAGCUGAAAGCACUCUGCUGGGCCUGAACUGACACUGGAGAGACGAAAGCUAGGGGAGCGAAUGGG
rnacentral:rRNA from 1 species